rnacentral:lncRNA from 1 species
AGAUGGUCAAGGAUCUGCUUCUGUACAAGUAUUGGUACUCCUUCAAAGUAGACUGAGCUUUUGUUCAAGUUGUCCUUGAGACCUGAGGCUGCUGAAAAUUGAGAAAAACAGUUGGAUAAUGCCUUAACAGAGUUGAGGUCUCCCUUAGCAAACAGCAACAAGUCAUCUGAAAAACACAUAUGUGUAAUACCCAGUUUUUUACAUCUGGGGUGGAAUUGAUAUGCUGGAUCAUCU